rnacentral:rRNA from 1 species
AUUGAACGCUGGCGGCAGGCCUAACACAUGCAAGUCGAGCGGAUGAAGGGAGCUUGCUCCUGGAUUCAGCGGCGGACGGGUGAGUAAUGCCUAGGAAUCUGCCUGGUAGUGGGGGAUAACGUCCGGAAACGGGCGCUAAUACCGCAUACGUCCUGAGGGAGAAAGUGGGGGAUCUUCGGACCUCACGCUAUCAGAUGAGCCUAGGUCGGAUUAGCUGGUUGGUGGGGUAAAGGCCUACCAAGGGGAAGAUCCGUAACUGGUCUGAGAGGAUGAUCAGUCACACUGGAACUGAGACACGGUCCAGACUCCUACGGGAGGCAGCAGUGGGGAAUAUUGGACAAUGGGCGAAAGCCUGAUCCAGCCAUGCCGCGUGUGUGAAGAAGGUCUUCGGAUUGUAAAGCACUUUAAGUUGGGAGGAAGGGCAGUAAGUUAAUACCUUGCUGUUUUGACGUUACCAACAGAAUAAGCACCGGCUAACUUCGUG